rnacentral:tRNA from 234 species
GGGGCCUUAGCUCAGUUGGUAGAGCGCUGCCUUUGCAAGGCAGAUGUCAGGAGUUCGAAUCUCCUAGGCUCCACAA